GACGAACGCUGGCGGCGUGCUUAACACAUGCAAGUCGAGCGGUAAGGCCCUUUCGGGGGUACACGAGCGGCGAACGGGUGAGUAACACGUGGGUGACCUGCCCUUAGCUCUGGGAUAAGCCUGGGAAACUGGGUCUAAUACCGGAUAUGACCUCAUGACUCAUGUUGUGGGGUGGAAAGCCUUGUGCGGCUAGGGAUGGGCCCGCGGUCUAUCAGCUUGUUGGUGGGGUAAUUGCCUACCAAGGCGACGACGGGUAGCCGGCCUGAGAGGGCGACCGGCCACACUGGGACUGAGACACGGCCCAGACUCCUACGGGAGGCAGCAGUGGGGAAUCUUGCGCAAUGGGCGAAAGCCUGACGCAGCGACGCCGCGUGAGGGAUGACGGCCU
rnacentral:rRNA from 1 species